rnacentral:rRNA from 1 species
UCCUACGGGGCGCAGCAGUGAGGAAUAUUGGUCAAUGGCCGGAAGGCUGAACCAGCCAAGCCGCGUGAAGGACGAAGGUGCCAAGCAUUGUAAACCUCUUUUGCCGGGGAGCAAGCGUGCGUUCGUGAACGCGCGUCGAGAGUACCCGGAGAAAAAGCAUCGGCUAACUCCGUGCCAGCAGCCGCGGUAAUACGGAGGAUGCGAGCGUUAUCCGGAUUUAUUGGGUUUAAAGGGUGCGUAGGCGGGAUGCCAAGUCAGCGGUAAAAAUGCGGUGCUCAACGCCGUCGAGCCGUUGAAACUGGCGG